rnacentral:rRNA from 1 species
UACGAAGGUCCCGAGCGUUGUUCGGAUUUACUGGGCGUAAAGAGUCUGUAGGCGGUAAAGUCAGUCAGAUGUGAAAUCCCGGGGCUCAACCCCGGAACUGCAUCCGAUACUGCUUUGCUCAGAGUAUUGGAGGGGAAUCUGGAAUUCUCGGUGUAGCAGUGAAAUGCGUGGAUAUCGAGAGGAACACUAGUGGCGAAGGCGAGAUUCUGGACAAUUACUGACGCUGAGAGACGAAGGCCAGGGGAGCAAAAAGG